AUGGACCAGUUCCUGGACGGCCACCACGUGCGGCUGCGGAGCCGCGUGCACGGCACGUACCUGCACGCCCACGGGGACGGGCAUGGCGUCUCCCUCCACGGGCGCCGCUCGUCAAUGAAGGCGGCUUGGGCGGUGCACAUCUACCAAGGCGGCGCUGCCGAUGCUCAGUACGUGCUCCUCCACAGCGCCGCCUACGGCAGCUACCUCGCCGCCACGGACGCGCCGGCGCCGCGCGGCCAACGCGGGCUCCGCGUCGAGCAGCGCAACUACGACGAGGGGGCGGAGGAGGCCAUCAGGUGGGAGGCCGUCAGGUUCGGGUCCGGGGACGACGUCCUGCUCCGCCACGUCACCGGCCGCUGCCUCCGCGCCAACGGGCCCGGGAGGUAUCUCCCCUGGAACAACGGCGUCAGCGUCGACGACAUCGACAACGCCAGAACGAGGAUGCUCUGGGUGGUCGAGCACAUCUCUGCCAGGGAGGGCAUGCCUCCUCUUCCACGUCCGACCGGGCUUCCCUUACCCGGAGGACUCGCCGCCAUGUUGCCGCCCCGGGUGAUCAUGUACGUGCGGACGAGCACCGAAGGGGCCGGCAUCCGCCGCGCCGCGUUCAUGUUCCAUGGGAGAUCGGUGUCCCGCCUGAGGAACAAGCUGGCCCGCCGGCUGCGUGACGUCAUGGACGUCUCCAACCUCGCCAUGUGCGUCCAAGCGGGUACUCACGGGCGGCUUACCCCACUCGUCGUCGACCUGCCCCACAGCGGCCAGGACCUCCACAUCGUCGUCUUCGCGGCCGGGACGCCAGUCCACAUGGAGCUGCGGUACCCGGAUGUCGAUGGAGAGUUAGUAGAGAGAUAUCACCAGAUACAUCGCUCCGAGUCGACGAUGGAUGCCAGUGGCGAGCACGGCAUCGCGGAGCGCGGCGGCAUCAUCUCUGUGACUGGUUCUCUGGGAGCCGGGCCUGUGUCUACCAGCCCGACGCAAUGCGCAGAUCUGCCAGUGGAUAUUAUCCAGAAGAUCAUCAGAAAUGGCACCUUGUGUGAUGUUGAUCGCGUGUGCGCCUCCUUGCUCAACAGGCACUGGCGCAAUAGCAUAAUUGGCGUGGAGGAGAUGGCUGACCUGGCCAAUCUGCCUUGGCUCUUUCUACCAUCUUCGGCGAGCCCGUGCUUCUUCAAUCCAACGAAAGCAUGCCUUCACCCACUUGGAGCUCUUCCAGAGGGCAUCAGGGCAGCCCGCCCGUGCGGAUCUUACCCCGGAGGCUGGCUAUUCUUGGACGGCGAAGCAUCGGGACAAGAUCAUCUGCUGUACAAUCUGAAGUCGGGCAAGCGGGUUACUCUUCCCAGCAGUGUCAUAAACAUGGAGGGGACAAUAAGAGGUGAGACGUCGCUCUUGAUGUGCGCUCUGUCCAGGUCUCCGUCAUGCCCCGGAUACGAGGUCGCCACAGUGCUCAACCAGGGACCAAGUGGUGAGCAUAUCAUUGCCAUGUGGAGCCCGCAACAAGAGCAUUGGCUAGAGAUCAGCAAGACACCGGAAGCGAGCAUUGUGGAUAUCUGCUAUCACCGCGGUGUGUUCCUUCUGCUGACGCGAGAUGAAGGCCUAAUCAAGGUGAUUCGGCAUGCUAACGGUUCUCGAGGGAUCCAGAUGUGCAAUGUGGUUAGAAGUGCUGGUAGAGUAAUGGAUGACUUGGUUGAGAAACGGCCUCAGUAUUCUCUGGACAGGCGGCUCGUAGAGUCGACGACAGGGGAUCUGCUGAUGCUCAUCAAGAUUAGCCGUCUAAACAGGACAGGCACGAUCACUUUGUAUAGGCUGGGAGUCAACCACGAUACAGGCGAGGCUGAGUGGCUCAACUACAUGUCACCUGCUGGGGGGAUGGGUUCGUCCCGGUCGUACCUGACGGAUACCAAGCAUGAGAUUCACUUUCUAGACGACGUCGGGAGGACUGUUGACUCGGAGGGCACUGGCACUAUCCUCUUCAGCCGUGACGACAUGGGAUGCUUCCUAACGCGCACGCGUUUGUUCGGCGGAGCCUACAGGGGGGCACCCUUCGACAAGACCUCUGACUUGAACCCGCCCGUGUGGUUCCAUCACUAG
rnacentral:rRNA from 1 species